rnacentral:lncRNA from 1 species
AUCAUAUUUAUGCAUGCAAACUAAGUAAUGCAUCCCUAAUCAACAUACAUAAACAUGUUAUCAAUCAAAUAGAUAAGUAAAUCGAAUUCAUAACUUAUGAAACGCAAUUAAAAGUAAUCAAAUCAUAUUGCAAGCAUUAACAUGGUUUCGAAUCCCCCCUAGCCAAGGGGGGUUUAGUUCCUCAUUAUUACAAAACAAAGAUAAACAAAUUUAACCAUUGAAAAACAAAGGAAAGAAAGCACCUAAACGUUCCAACGAUCCAUGUUGGAUAGCAAGUGCGUCUAAGGACUUUUCUCCUUCUCUUUGCCGCAACAACAAGGUUGGAAUGAUGUUGAAGGGUUGGUUAUUUGGAGGAAUGGAUGGGAAGGGGUUUAGAUAUGUAGGAGAGGCAAGGAAAGGCUUGGAGAAUGGUUAAUUUCUGGAUGCAUGGUAUUUAUAGGGAGAUGAUGGACUUGUUUAAGCACAAAUUUCUGGUGGAAUUGAGUAGGUGAGCAUGGCAAAGAGUGGGAAUUGUUGGUGGGUUAGGUAUUGAGUCAUCCACUCACAUGUCAUGGUUAGCUAAGCAUUGCAUCAUCCACUCACAUGUCAUGGUGAGCUAAGCAUUGCAUCAUCCACUCACAUGUCAUGGUGAGUUAAUCAUUGCAUCAUUACUCAAAUUUCUGGUGGAGGUGGAAGUAAAAGCCACGGCAUUGAUGUGUUUUGAGUGAAGUUUUGGCCAAUCCUUCUAGAAAUUUAUCCCUUCUUGCAACUUGUAUUUGUUUCACCAGAUUUUUAGCAUGUUCUUAGCCUCUUUUGUCUUCAAAUUUGUCCAUCCAUCUUGCUCAUAUCAUAUGUAAUCCAUUCCAAGCUCAAAACUGCUCCAAAAUGCACCAAAAUGCACUUUCUUGCUACCUUAGCCCUUUGGACCUACAAACACACGAAAAUGGCUUAAAGUACUAAAAUAACUAAGAACUAAUAACGUAAAUGCAAGAAAACUAGUUAACUAAGUCGCAUAAAUAUGCGUCUAUCAUGCAUU